rnacentral:rRNA from 1 species
UACGAGGGGGGCGAGCGUUGUUCGGAAUCACUGGGCGUAAAGGGUGCGUAGGCGGGUUUUUAAGUCAGGGGUGAAAUCCUGGAGCUCAACUCCAGAACUGCCUUUGAUACUGAAGAUCUUGAGUCCGGGAGAGGUGAGUGGAACUGCGAGUGUAGAGGUGAAAUUCGUAGAUAUUCGCAAGAACACCAGUGGCGAAGGCGGCUCACUGGCCCGGUACUGACGCUGAGGCACGAAAGCGUGGGGAGCAAACAGG